CUGGGUGUAGCGCAGCUUGGUAGCGCGCUAGAAUGGGGUUCUAGAGGCCCUGGGUUCAAAUCCCAGCACUCAGACCA
rnacentral:tRNA from 1 species